GGAAGGUUGAUAUUUACAGAGUGGCAGCUCUCCCGGACGGGUGAAACAGGUGUAUGAUGUGGGAGGAUGGGAAGAAAAGUUGCCGUUCAGAAGCAGGACAGCAGCUGAAGUAUAAAUUUUCACACAGGACUUACUCUGCUGAGCUAAGGAAAUUGCGAGGAAGAAAUAGAAUACAAGUAUUUACUUAUAUCUUCAUGUCUGGGAAGAUCCCGUAACAUCUGAUUGGUGGCUAACUGUGGGCAGGCACAGGAAGAGGUAACAAGAAGAUGCACCAGUUCCAAGCUCCGGUGGGAAGAAAUAUUGUCAGGAAGAAUGAGCAAACCUUUGUGUCUGGGACGUUAAUGUAACAAUGGCUAUUAAAAAUAUAUAUACCAUAUUUUAUAAAACUGUCUAGUGCCACAGGGCCAGAUUUAGAAAAGGUAGCAGAUACCCUAUCUAUUCUGUAUUCUUUAGUCACCCCAAUUCACUCAGUUUUAGUUCAAUUUUUUUCCUGGGGCUACACAUUAUUCUGAUUUUUCUCAAGGGCUACAAAAACGAGUGCAGAGGACCACAUGUAGGGGCCGAUUUAUCAUGGCCCGAAUGGGGCCAAAUACAUCUGUUUCCGGAAACAGGAGAUAAGAAGCAGACAGCAAUCCACCCGAUCGCAUAUGAUUGGGUUGAUUGACACUCCUGAAUCUGCAAGGGGCGGCAUUGCACAAGCAGUUCACCAGAACUGCUUGUGCAAUGAUAAAUGCCGACAGCGUAUGCUGUCAGCAUUUAGAGAUACAGGGCGGACAUGAUCUGCUACAGCGAAUCAUGUCCGCCACACACAUGAUAAAUCGGCCCCGUAGCCUUCGGCCACCAGUCAGCCAUCCCUGACUUAAAUGAAGAAAUACAGUUAAACUAUAACAAACGUGUUUUACAUGCUUUUCAUGGAAGUAUUACAAGACGAAAGUAAAAAGUUUGUGAGAGAGCAAAAGACGCACGCACACUAACAUCUGGAGGUUGGAUAGUGCGACUGCGCUAACUCCCUUUCUCUAGAUAAUUCUAUGGGGUACGCUACAAAAGCCUCUUCUGGCUUUCACUCUCAUGCUAACUUUUUACUUUUAACUUAUAAUAGUAUUGAUAAUGACUGCCUAAUACUUUGGAAUGCUGUAUUUGCUCUUUUAUUCAAUAAUAUCAAUACACGUUAUGAAUUCAAUUUACAUUUUAUAUCUAUAUCCAAAAAUGUAAUUGCAAUAAUAAAUUAGCCUUCAAAUAA